GAUGAACGCUGGCGGCGUGCCUAAUACAUGCAAGUCGAGCGAACAGACGAGGAGCUUGCUCCUCUGACGUUAGCGGCGGACGGGUGAGUAACACGUGGAUAACCUACCUAUAAGACUGGGAUAACUUCGGGAAACCGAAGCUAAUACCGGAUAAUAUAUUUAACCACAUGUUUCAAUAGUGAAAGACGGUUUUGCUGUCACUUAUAGAUGGAUCCGCUUCGCUUAAGCUAUUUGUUAAGGUAACGCCUUACCAAGGCAACGAUGAGAAGCGGACUUGAGAGGUGGAUCGCCCACACUGGAACGGGGCAAGGGUCCAGACUCCUACGGGAGGCAGAAGAGGGAAACCUUGCGCAUGGGGCGAAAGCCGGACGGGGCACGGCCGGGGGGGGGAUGAAGGUCUUCGGUUCGAAAACCCUUGUUAUAAGGGAAGAAGAAAUGUGGAGUGAACUACGCACGUCGUGACGGUACCUAAUCAGAAAGCCACGGCUAACUACGUG
rnacentral:rRNA from 1 species